GAUGAACGCUGGCGGCGUGCCUAAUACAUGCAAGUCGAGCGAACAGACGAGGAGCUUGCUCCUCUGACGUUAGCGGCGGACGGGUGAGUAACACGUGGAUAACCUACCUAUAAGACUGGGAUAACUUCGGGAAACCGUAGCUAAUACCGGAUAAUAUAUUGAACCGCAUGGUUCCAUAGUUAAAUACGGUUUUGCUGUCACUUAUAGAUGGAUCCGCGCCGCAUUAGCUAGUUGUUAAGGUAACGGCUUACCAAGGCAACGAUGCGUAGCCGACCUGAGAGGGUGGUCCGCCACACUGGAACAGAGACACGGUCCAGACUCCUACGGGAGGCAGCAGUAGGGACUCUUACGCGAUGGGCGAAAGCCGGACGGAGCAACGCCGCGUGAGUGAUGAAGGUGUUCGGCUCGUAAAACUCUGUUAUUCGGGGAGAACAAAUGUGUAAGUACCUAUGAACGUAUUGACGGUACCUAAUCAGAAAGCCACGGCUAACUACGUG
rnacentral:rRNA from 1 species